rnacentral:miRNA from 2 species
GCAUUAGGGGAGUCAUGCAGG